AACGAACGCUGGCGGCAUGCCUAACACAUGCAAGUCGAACGAGACCUUCGGGGCUAGUGGCGCACGGGUGCGUAACGCGUGGGAACCUGCCCUUAGGUUCGGAAUAACUCCCCGAAAGGGGUGCUAAUACCGGAUAAUGUCUUCGGACCAAAGAUUUAUCGCCUUUGGAUGGGCCCGCGUUGGAUUAGCUAGUUGGUAGGGUAAAAGCCUACCAAGGCGACGAUCCAUAGCUGGUCUGAGAGGAUGAUCAGCCACACUGGGACUGAGACACGGCCCAGACUCCUACGGGAGGCAGCAGUGGGGAAUAUUGGACAAUGGGCGAAAGCCUGAUCCAGCCAUGCCGCGUGAGUGAUGAAGGCCUUAGGGUUGUAAAGCUCUUUUACCCGGGAUGAUAAUGACAGUACCGGGAGAAUAAGCUCCGGCUAACUCCGUG
rnacentral:rRNA from 1 species